GGCAGUGAUAGACACUAGACCUGUUUCCCAUCCUUGUCUCCCAAGCAGCCCAGGUCCUGCGCACUAGCUCUUUCUUAGUGCGUUUCUGACUGGAGGCUUAGCUCAGCGGCUCUGCCUUCCAGGGUAUGGAAGCACAACUAGAAUCAAGUCUUUUUCUCCCCGAAGGUCACAGUAACUUGUUAGAAAAAAAGUUCUUGCUGCCGGAUGGGGAAAGCAAUGGAAUGGAAAGAAAGGAGAAGAAAGCAAAACAAAGAAGAAGAAAAAUGAAAACUGACUUUUGCUUUGGAGAGGCCAGAUGACUCCCCAUGCAAAGCUGGUGCUCAAGCUCAGCAGCCUCUCUGGAUCGACCUGACACUGAUCACCUCAUAAAGUGGUGUUAAGGCAGCAGCGGUCAGCAGAGAAGCUAAGCUUUGGCUUCUUCAAUGCCCAGAGCUGAAGAUCCACCAAGAAUUCCACCUACAGCCGGGGUACGCAGAAAGACCACACUUACUGAAGAGUACCCUGUACACAACAGUCACAGAAGGGAAGACAGCAUCUCUCUUCGGACCUCUGACGACAAAGAAUGGGAUGUGGAAGGAAGAGUAGCUGGGGAUGGCAAGGCCUUAACUCGAUGGCAAUACUGGACCCUUGGGAUUCCAGGCUCUGAAGAAGAACCUAAAAAUGUGACAAAAUAUUGAUGUUUUCUCAUUCCCUUCAGACACAGUCUUUCUUGAGAACAUCUGACAAGGUUGCUGGUGAACAAGCAUUCCCAGUGAGCAGCCUGCUGGCCUGGCACAGUGCCCGGAAGGGCAACGGUAGCAGCAAGAGUCACUGAGGGUACAGCUUUCAUUUACAGAUACAGCUCUUGGUUCCUUCACAGACGUAUCUGGCAUUGUGCAUCUCCUUGGAGGGACACACAGCCUCUGGAGAGGGAGAGAUGCCUGAGUCAUCCCAAGUAAAUUUUAUGAACCUGUCUGUGUAGGUGGCAGAUUUGCCUGGCUGAAGUUGGUCCGGGUAGAAGGAGUUGCUUCUCAAAACAUCCAGCUACGUUUUGAGAUUAAGUCAAUGUACCUAGGUCUUUGUAAUUUAAUUCAAUUCAAAAGUAAUUUAAGAUUCAGACCGGAGGAUACCUCCACCACAGUCUUGGUACAGGCCUCUCUUCCUCAGGAGGACACCGUUGGGAGAGAGACAAGAUACUGGUUUCUCCGUCCUGAUGCUCAUUUGAACUGACAUGUCAUCCCAUAUAUGACCCUGCCUUUUUCCCCUCAUCAAACUUCAUUAGACUCAACAGAGAGGAUUGGAAAGGGCACUGGGACAAAAAGAGAAAAAAAAGGUAGGAAAUUUGUGCCCCAUCCCUAAACAUGUCUGCAGGUGACGCACUCCCAUGCUCCUCGGGGCUACAGAACCUUCUCUUCUCCUGGCUCUGCUCAAGACUUGGUGUUCAAGCCUCAGCUCCUAAUCAGCUCCUAAAUUGCCUCUGGAGGAUUUUUUACUUCCCUGAAAUCCCU